rnacentral:pre_miRNA from 1 species
GGAAGAGGAGGAAGCCCUGGAGGGGCUGGAGGUGAUGGAUGUUUUCCUCCGGUUCUCAGGGCUCCACCUCUUUC